rnacentral:misc_RNA from 1 species
CUCCCACCCCUCAAAAAAUUUCCAGCCGCCACAGCUUUUCCCUGCCUUUCUUCUUCACGGCAGCAACAACCAUCAGGGAGCCGUGCUCCUCCCAUGGCGCCUCCUCUCCUUCCCUUCCUCGAGCAAGCCAGCAGCAGGCGCCUCUCCCCUUCAGGCAUGGCAGCGGCUUCUUCUCCUCCCCUCUAUUCUCCUGGGCGUGUGCAGUAGCUCCAUGGCUGCCGAGCUCUUAUCCAUGGCGCGGCUCCCCUGUUCCCCUGCGUCUCCCUCCUCUCCGGCUUCCCUCGCGCAGCGGCAGCAAGCAUGGAGCUUGGCUCCUCUCCCCUGCGCCCUACCUUUUUCCAUAGAAAGCAGCAGGAGCUCCACCUCCCAUGGCGCCCUUUUUUUUCAGCCGUGCAGCUCCCUACUCCAUGCCGAUGCCCCUUCUCUUCCCCUGCUCGUUCUCCCUCGCGCAACAGCAGCCGGGUCUUCUUCCUCCCCUGCUGUCCACGGCGCGCAGCAAACAGGGAGCUCAGCUCCAUCUCCCCUCACGGCAGGACACAGCAGCAGCUCGCCCCGCCUCUCCUCGCAGACGCAGCCCUCUCCCAUGGCGCGCUGCAGCAGAUGCCGUGGAGCAUUCCCUCCAUGCAUUGCGACUCGGUUUCCUUCCUGCGUGUGUGCUGCUGCGCCUGCGCCAUUGAUGCUUGCUGGGUGCUCGACAAAAUGUGCAGCAGCCCCGACGGCUCCGCGCGCUGUCGGCUUGCUGUUUUAUUGCGCAGUGAGCAGCACGCCGUGAUGCCCGUCGGUGGUUUGCUGUUUUUGCGCAGCCCCGCCGCCGUCGUCGUUCGCCCCGGAGAGGAACCCCGUGUUUGGCGUGGAGAAGAAGGCAAGCCGCUCGUCGAUGUUUGUAGCGAUGCACAAAUCGGAAUCACCGUCAUUCUUGCAAACGUCGAUUGGGUUUGUUUAUGGACCGAGAGAUGAUGAUCGAGCCAGUGAUGUGGUGCCAACCACAAGACGCAGUUGGUAGACGACCCGAAGGAUGGACAUAACCAGUGGAUGCUCGCCAAGCGAGUACCUCCCCCCCAACAAACACUACUUAAGUGUUAAAUUAAAGACGAGCAAGCCACUGUGGAAACUGAGGUUCAACAAGUAGAGAUAGCUGAGCAGGAGCUCAUUGAAGGAGAAGAACAGGUGGUCGAAGAGGAGCCGCCUAACACUGAGGAGUUCGAUCUGAUCUAGGUGGCGUUUCUCAGUCGACAUUGGCGCCGACGAUCCUUAGUUCGUUUUAUGUUUACACUUUUAUUUUGUAAUAAGUCUUCCGCUAUGUAAUAAAUACUCUGAUGUUUUAUGACAUUUAUCUCUAUACACUCUGUUAUUAUAUAUGUCGUCUUCUUUGGCGCAUGUAUGAGAUGCACCCGGCUUUGUUCCUUAAAACCGGGUGUUACAGCUUUGGAUCUACGCGGCCGAGACCUAGCCGCGUUCGUUCGUGAAGUGGAGGACGGGGCUGUGAGGAUUGUAGGGCGGUAUGCGCCGAGGACGGAGAGUCUGCGGAGUUGGGAUAUUCGGGGAUCCAAUGUUCACUUGAAUCGGGUCUUUGAGUUAAACCGUUUGCCAUACGGUGGUUACCCUGGAGAUGACGCUGCUGCGGCUAUUGACCGCCGCGGGAAAAAAACUAGUGGCUGAGGAAGGCCCUUCGCGGGAGGCUGCCCCGACCACUAAGAAGAGAAAAAUAG